AAUGGAAAUAUAAAUCAAUUGCUUUAAAAAAGCAAUUGUAGGGGGUCUUUCCCCCUUUAAAAUUAAUUGAAUUGGGGGGGGGGGUUUGUUUGUUUGUUUGUUUGUUUGUUUGUUUGUUUGUUCGUUUCUGUAUGGGGUCUAUAUUAUUGUUACCGGAGAAGUUUCAUGUUUAGUUCGGAAAGUUUUUCUUUUAUUUUAGGUACAGCGCGCGCGCCACAUCACGUGACACGGGUUUAUAAUAACGAAAAGAUAGUCUUUUUAUUUCUUUUUAGGUGGGGACUUUGAACAGACAACAUGUAUAGAGACGGAAUAAACACAAUGUAAUUUCUUUUGUCAUUGUAGGAAAUUGACAUUUUGAUGACAGUUCACAAGCAGUGCAUGUUUUGGAUUUAAUUGAUCCGGUGUAACUUUAAAACACAUUUAUUGAUCAUUUUCUGAUAUUGUACAUUUUUCAGCACCUGUUUGUAACACAGAUUAGUAUUUCAAUCUCGGAGCGGACAUUUUAUAGUAGGUUUUUACUGAGAUUUACAGACCUAGCAAGCGAUUUUUACGGCAUUGCCAUUUCUUUUCUCUAGGAAAAGCUUUGAGAGAUAUCUGCACCAAGUUUUUUUAUAAACUUUCAGUACAUGUAUGCCCUGCUGACUGCAAAUUUUGAGGUCGAUUGUACUUGUAGUUUCAGAGAACAUGUGGAUUUUUUUUCAGAAGUGACGCAAGAACAAUAUUGAAUUUCGAUUUUUCAUGAAACAUGAUUUAUUGAUCAUGAUCAUGAUUGAUUGAUUGAUUGAUUGAUUGAUUGAUUGAUUGAUUGGUUGGUUGAUUAGUUGGUUGGUUGGUUGGUUGGUUAAACACGUUGCUUAAACAUGUUGCUUAAACACGUUGGAUAGGCUCAAAAUUGGAUCCCGUAUUUAACGCAUGAAACGGAAACAUGCAUUGAUUGAUUGAUUGAUUGAUUGGUUGGUUGUUGGUUGGUUGGUUGGUUGGUUGGUUAAACACGUUGGUUAAACAUGUUGGUUAAACACAUUGGUUAAACAUAUUGGUUAAACACGUUGGAUAGGCUCAAUUUAAACAAGCGGGAAAAAAAAAACCAUCUUGGAUCCCGUAUUUAACACAUAAAACGGAAACAUGCAUUGAUUGGUUGGUUGGUUAAACACGUUGGUUAAACAUGUUGGUUAAACACGUUGGUUAAACAUAUUGGUGAAACCCGUUGGCUGGUUAAACACGUUGGAUAGGCUCAAUUUAAACAAGCGAAAAAAAAAAACACAUCUUGGAUCCCGUAUUUAACACAUGAAACGGAAACAUGCAUGCAUUGAUUGGUUGGUUGGUUGGUUGGUUGGUUGGUUGGUUGGUUGGUUAAACACGUUGGUUAAACAUAUUGGUGAAACACGUUGGCUGGUUAAACACGUUGGAUAGGCUCAAUUUAAACAAGCAAAAAAAAACAUCUUGGAUCCCGUAUUUCACACAUGAAACGGAAACAUUAAUUGAUUGAUUGAUUGAUUGGUUGGUUGGUUGGUUGGUUGGUUGGUUGGUUGGUUGGUUGGUUGGUUGGUUGGUUGGUUGGUUGGUUGGUUGGUUGGUUAAACACGUUGGUUAAACAUGUUGGUUAAACACGUUGGUUAAACAUAUUGGUUAAACACGUUUGAUAGGCUCAAUUAAAACAGGCGAAAAAAAAAGAGACCUUGAAUCCCGUAUCAAACACAUGAAACGGAAACAUUGAUUGAUUGAUUGAUUGAUUGAUUGAUUGAUUGAUUGAUUGGUUGGUUGGUUGGUUGGUUGGUUGGUUGGUUGGUUGGUUGGUUGAAAUUCAAACACACAAAACUGUUUAAAUAGUGCCAAAACCACAUAAUUUGAUGACCUUGACCUUUGACCUUGUAACCUUCGUCAAGGUCAUUGCUCCACAAGGUCAUUGCAAAAGACCCUAUGGGUCAAGGACCUUUUGUUUAAGAGUUUUGCCUAAAAAUGGCUUUUUAAAAACCAUCGAUGGGAGUUAUGUCCCUUACAUGAUGGUAAAAUCAAUAUAGUCAUAAUGUAAAAAAAUUGCCCCUUGAAGUACCAAGCAUUUUUCACUGCUUAAUUUUUUUGUAUCUAUAACCGUUCAAGAGUUAUAGGGAAAUCAAAGACAUGUGAAAAUCUAAAAUAUGACCUUGACCUUUGACCUUGACCUAAUUUUCAUUUUUUUGGACCAAGGACCUCAAAUCAAAAGAUCCUAGGUCUCUAGCACUUAUGGUUUACAAGAUAGAAAUGCAUAUCACUUAUAACAAAUGCAUAAGGGGAAAUAACUCUCAUAUGGAGCGUUCAUAUCGCUUCGGUCAAAAUAGGACAAAUCAUGCGAAGGAUAUAACGAGUAAUUUUGUAAAAUAAAUUUGUCCUAAUAUUUUACGGUUGCGAAGGAGUUGCGCUAACAAGGAAAACAGUGUUUGGGGAGAUAACUCCUACAAAGAAAAGUAUUCGUUUACGCAGGGUAAAUUUCAAAAGCGCAUAAACUGUUCGAUAUCAUAUCAUAUACCAAAUAUCUAAGCGACAUAUUGCGAAACAAAUGUUUAUCGCAAGAACAAAAUUAGGCGGAAGAAAAAAAAAAAAAAAAAAAAAUAAUCAGAACAAAUACAAUAGGCUUUCCACAGAAAAGUGGAAAGACCUAAUAACUGUGUUCGUGACCGAUUGGUACACUGUUCCUGUC
rnacentral:lncRNA from 1 species